GGGCGCAAGCCUGAUCCAGCCAUGCCGCGUGUGUGAAGAAGGCCUUAUGGUUGUAAAGCACUUUAAGCGAGGAGGAGGCUACUUUAGUUAAUACCUAGAGAUAGUGGACGUUACUCGCAGAAUAUGCACCGGCUAACUCUGUGCCAGCAGCCGCGGUAAUACAGAGGGUGCAAGCGUUAAUCGGAUUUACUGGGCGUAAAGCGCGCGUAGGCGGCUAAUUAAGUCAAAUGUGAAAUCCCCGAGCUUAACUUGGGAAUUGCAUUCGAUACUGGUUAGCUAGAGUGUGGGAGAGGAUGGUAGAAUUCCAGGUGUAGCGGUGAAAUGCGUAGAGAUCUGGAGGAAUACCGAUGGCGAAGGCAGCCAUCUGGCCUAAUACUGACGCUGAGGUACGAAAGCAUGGGGAGCAAACAGGAUUAGAUACCCUGGUAGUCCAUGCCGUAAACGAUGUCUACUAGCCGUUGGGGCCUUUGAGGCUUUAGUGGCGCAGCUAACGCGAUAAGUAGACCGCCUGGGGAGU
rnacentral:rRNA from 1 species